UGGCAAUGUCCUCUUUAGCAUAGGCUGAGU
rnacentral:piRNA from 1 species